GCCAGGCAUGGUGGCACAUGCCUGUAAUCCCAGCUACUUGGGAGGCUGAGGCAGGAGAAUUGCUUGAAUCCGGGAGGUAGAGGUUGCAGUGAGCCGAGAUCAUGCCACUGCACUCCAGCCUGGGUAACAGAGCGAGAUUCCGUCUCAA
rnacentral:sRNA from 1 species